AAUCAAGUUGUUCUUGUUUGUUAUGAAGGCUUUUUCUUUCCCCUUUAUUUGAUUGAAGAAUUUUCAUUUUGCAAAUAACACCUCUCUUACUUUUUUAGGCACUUGGUUCAGUUUCUUUUAAGGGCACGGUUAACUCUCUGAGUCUUUUUGAUAAAAGUAGGUGUUGUAUUUUUCGUUUGAAAAAUAAAUAAAAGGUCAGUUAAAAUAAAAAAGAAUUUUCAUUUUGCUGAUAAUAUCAUUUCAUUUCGAAACCAAUGUAAGUGAUUAACUAUCAAAGAGCAAGGAUGAAAUACUUAACGUCAUAAAAAAAGAUGAUAGGUUGUUAUAAGCUCAAGCUAGAAGUUGUAUAGACAAUUCAAACUACACAAAAGCCUUGUAAGAAAAAUAAAAUAUUGGGCAGCAAAGAUUAUUGCCCUUUUAUAACUUUGUGAGAGAGAGAUAGCAAAUUAACGAUAGCUAGACCCUGAUCCGCGCGCCAGCGCGGGUAUGAAAUUUCGGUUUUUGGUUAUUUAUUUAACUAAAUGAUGUAUUAUAUUCACCAAGUAAAUAAUUUUUUGGCAUUUUACUACUGACUGAAGGCUUUUCUCACCACUGACUGAGGAGGAGGACCUUGUUCAUCAUCUCUUUCUCUCUCUUCCAGGUCAUCGAUUUUGAACUACCCAUUACAGUUCAGCUUAAAAUAGUUGACGUUGAUCCUGGUCUCCGAGGUGACACUGCACAAGGUGGAACUAAACCUGCCACACUCGAGACUGGUGCAGUUGUCAAUGUACCCCUCUUUGUCAAUGUUGGUGAAGAUAUUAUGGUGGACACGAGAACCGGUACGUAUGAGCCGGGUCUGACACUUCUUCCCUAUUGCUAACGACUAAGGAAUGUGAUAUUUAAUGAGCGGUUUUGCUUAUAGAGUACUCUGAUUAGUUGAGUGAACGCCCAUAAUUGCUACUAUUGGUUUCCCUAAUAAUGAUUCUGUAUUAUUUUAAGAUACAUACGUUUCUCCGGGCCACCGUGUUUGAGUGUGCGCACUGAGUGACAAAUGAAUUAAGUGAAUUUAAAUUAGGUGACAAAACAUAUAAUUAAAACUGAAUGUGUAAGCUUUUUGGGAGUACAUAUAUGGUAACGAUAUAGUGUGUGAAUUGAGUGAAGACUGUUCUUACAACUCAAGCUGAGAAGGCUGAGUGUUGGGAUGGUUAUCAAGAGGCAUGUAUUGCGCCAUUAUCGCUCUUAUCUCUGAGUCCAUGUACGUCUGCAGCACAUGAUUAAUUAAUAGUUAAGAAAACCCCACAAUCAAAGUCCAGCCAAAAUAUUGAACAAGUAUUGUCUUUGAGAAGCAGACCCGGAUUCUGUAUUUGUAAUCAGUGUAAGCUCCCAAAGCAGCUGCUCCCAGUCCCAUUAUUAUUAUCCAUAUCACUCCCCAUCUUACAUCUCCUCUUGCAUCCUUACCUGUGUCGUCAGUUACAAUGCAGUUUAUACUCUUUUUUUUUAUCUAGAUGGAUCGAUCGACUAUUGUUUCCAAUAAUAAAACGAUGAAUGAUGUGUAAAAUAUACUUAUGCAAAUGUCAUGCUCUCUGAUGUAAAGCAAGCUUCCGCUGCAUCAUAGCUUCCCCAUGUGUUCUUGCAUUUGCAGCCGCGACACUGGCACACUGUUUUCUCUUCACACUAGUUAACAUCUGCGUUGUACACAUCAACAAGUAAAUUUUUUUUUUCAAUCUCAAGCUCUAACUAUAAUAUUUCAUAGAUAUAAUACCUGUGCAGUUUUUGAGCCCAUCACCGCUGAAUCCAGGUGGACAUAUGCAGCCUUUCAAAUGAUCAUCCAGACAACAACAAAAAAAGCAAGGAAAGAACGAUAAGUCAUGUUUAUAUAUAAAGAGAGGUUCUGUCAUGUCAAAACAGAGGAUGGAAGUCAGUUAGUUAGCUGGAGUAUGUCAUCAUAUUACACGGCAAGCCGAAUAUGCAUGUUCUUCCCAUUUGAGUAUGUUUCCAGCAUCCUCCAUUGUUUAUUACACAGUGCAAUGGCCCCUGACGCUGCCUUAUCCAAAAUUUAAACAUGUAAAAAGAAAAUUCAUCAUUUAUGAAUCAUAACAUGCAUAUAGUAAUUGAGCUUCUGUUUUUCAUUUCUUCACAAUGUGUGUAACCGUCCCCCAAAAACUUGACACCUUGAACAAUGGGACAUUGACACACUCUUCCUCUGAAAGUGUCCUGCAACACUUCAACAUUGAUGCUCCUUUUAAUGAAAGUUGUGUAACAUAACAUUCUAGCAAAAAUAAGAAUGGUUUUUUUUUUCUUCUUUUUAAGAUCUGACGCACCCUGCAAGCUGUAAUAUUGGUUCUCUUAUCAACCCAACAACCUCCAUUGUUUUGUAAACACUCAUUGGUUUCUAUAUCUGCCCAAACAAAGAAUCCAGAACAUGACGUUAGAAAGUAGUAUUGGAUAUAUAUCACUAUUUGCCUCUCUUUGAUGUUAUUUCUUUCUCCUUUAUCUCUAGAAACUGACUCGGUGGCUAAAUCAGCUCUCUCUUUGAUCUAUCAAAAGCUAGAGAAGUUGGGGAUAGUUGCCCGUGACACCAUUGGAAGGUACUACUGCAUGGGGCUGAAGCGAGCCAACGGGAUCAUAGGGACCACCACCGAGGAGCUUGUCCUUAAGGCCAAACAGGGCGUCACCCCUUCUUGAACUCUUACUACCUUCUCUUCCCUUCUUUAACAUUUGUCCUCUACUCAUUUCACUAAAACUCUAACUGUCAAAUGUUUUGUUGGUUGUUUACAACAAAUCAAUUCACCGAAAAUAAUUGUCUGAUAUGAACGCAUGCAACAUACAAUAUUGAACUAUAUUGAUACGGGGCAAGCCUGAAGAAUUUUCAAGGAAGACCUACAAAAUGCCUCUAUUCCCAGCUAUCGUUGUCAGGUUGCCACUUUCUUUCUAUUAAUUUUCUUUUCACAUCGGUGCUUCGAGAAGCUCUUUACCCUGUGGCUUGUCAGUUAACAUAAAGAGAGCAGAAAGAGGUCUUUCUCAACUCAAGCUUCGUCUUUUCAAUCCAUCAGCCUUACCCUUGUGAGGCAUUUUGAGAGAUCCAAUCUUCGACCCCUUAUCAUUGGACGUGCUUUUAUUGCAGAUAGAGGUUGUCUAAAUAGUGUCUGAUGGAUCAAGUUUGAGUACCCUGAGGGAAGUUAGAGGCAGAGAAAGCCGAGAAACGAAAACAACAUACAGAAGCAUCAUGAACUUGAACUAGUCAUAUAUAUUAUUUUUGAUCAACUAAGUAGUCAUAUAUAUAUAAUCAACUUUGUUUGUAACUUUUAAUACACUUGUUUAAUUGUUUGUAUACUGACUGAAACUGAUCAAUAAAAGGUCAACGCUUUUUAUUACCUUUGGCGCCGCAUGACGGUGUUGUUUUGUGUCUUUGUUGAUUUUAAUAAGUAAUAAACGAUGCCGUUUUACAUAGAAUGAUCAACGUGAAACGUUAUCCAAAGCAACGGUCUGGCAACGGCUAAUUCUGUUUCAGUUAAAAGAUUCUCGAAGAUAUUCUUUAUAACUUCUCUUCCUUCUCUUUCAAAAUUUGAAUCACUCUUAUUUUCUGAUCUUUGAGAAACAGCAGAGAGAGAAAAAAUAAUAAGAACAAGAAAAGGGGGGGGGGGAGAGAGAGAGAGAGAGAGAGAGAGGAGCCGUUGCUUGCGAAUCAAUCAUUCUUUGGGUAAUACAUCUUCUUCUUCUUUCUCAUAAUUCUUAGGGUUUAUUUGCUUUCCACCAUCGUUGAACCCUCUUUCAUCUAUCUGUUAUAGUUCUCUUCCCGGAGAACAGACACGAAGAACGACACAGAGUCAGAGCACGACGUCCAGAAAGGCGAUCUCCAUCAAGAAACCCUCUCUGGUCUCUUCGCAGAGAUCGAAACCAUCAAAAUCCUAAUCGAAUAGAUCACUAAUCCCUUACACGAUCUCACAAUCAUCUCCUCUCGUUAUUGCAACAUGGUUGAGUCAUAGAAGACAAAGACUACAACCCCACGAAACCCUAGUUCCCACCAAUCAUCUUCGUCUUCGUGCCUAACAGAGAAGAACAACACAAGCCGCAAGUGACGUGCCGUGCCUUGCCGCGCAAGAAGGAAAGCGUAGUUUCAAGAAAGCAAAGGCGUCACCUUUAUUCACAUGGGAGUGGAAAAAUACGCCGGAUUGGAUUAGUCCAGUUGAUGAGUAACAUAAAAGAAGCGCAAGACCCAAAGCUAAUCUUCGAGAAGACUCUGUUCGAAACAGAUGUCAGACCAAGCCAGAGCCCUCUCUCAAUCCCUUUCCACGAACUGAUCUGAAACGACUUCUUGACACCCGUUGAGUCAGAGAAUCACAUCAACAGCAAAUAAAAGAUGGGUUUGGAGUGAUUCUUGUUGAUCAAGGCACUAAGAAGCGGGGUGCGUUUCUCUAGAGAUGGGAGAUGAACGGUCCUUGGAACUAUGCUUUGGUUUGUGGGUGGAACGAUGUCGUGAAGGCUAAUGGAUUGAAAGAUGGAGACAACAUUAGUCUUUGGUCUUUCAGGUGCCGAGGAGUCCUCUGUUUUGCCCUUGUUCCCCUCUCUUUUACAGGAAUGGACUGAGGGGAAUGAGGAUGGUUCCCUACUUGAAGCAAUCUACGAGCCCUUGAUGAGGUAAUAACAACCGUUAGAAGCUAGGCAAGAGUAGUGGAAAAGAACUGAAUCAUACAAAUAUGAUACAGGUUCCAAAACUAGCUGAAUGUGAGACAUAUAUUAUCUUAAAAUGGGUUACCUAUGGAACUUUUCAGGCACGGAAGAAAGAUGGAGGUACUAUUUUCUCUCUUUCUCUCUCUGCGAUUUAUCAAAGAGCAGAAAUAAGAAUGAUUCAAAAUUUGAAAGAGAACGAAGAAAAGAGGAGAGAGAGAGAAAAUAGCGAAGUUGAUUGAUCAGAGAGGAGCCGUUCUUUGCGAGGCAAGCAUUCUUUGGUUCUUUCCGGAGAACAGACACGGUGACUCUGCUUUUACAAACGUAAUCUCCUUUACUUGGUUAUAUUCUCUUCUACAUGCUCUCUCUCUCUCGUUAAAGCAAAAUCCGCCAUGGAAGAGGUACUCGGUCAUUCGUUUAUGUCCUCGCACUUGUAAUUUAUGUUUUAUGGAUCCAUGAUCUCUUGAUUGAUAUGUGUUAUUGCUUUGUUUUCUUGAUGAUAAAUAUACUUCUUUCGCUGAUGAAUCGGAGGCCGACGACGAUAUCGUACAAUCAAAGAAAUCAAUUAUUCUCGGAUGGAAAUAAUUGGGCCAGCUCACUCAACAGUCGGAUGGAUAAUAAAUACCGGCUCAGCUAUUCUCAUUUUGGUAAUACUAAAUGGGCCCAAGGUACUUAACUAGUCCACUUAGUAUGUAGUGAAUCGGUAAGCUUUUAAAACAAUGGGCCUCCGUUACUCUGCUUUUAUAUUUAUCAAAGACAAUAUUAGGCCAGGGCCCAAUAUACUAUUCGGAUCUACGUUUACAUUUAUUCAGCCUAGUUAUUUCUUUUAUAAGGAAUUAGUUAUUUUUCCUUAACCCUUAAAAUAAGAGAUUAUUCAGUAGUGGAGAUUAGUUAUUCGGCAAAGAGAUUAGGAGUAUUGGGGGUUUAUGGGUAUUUGGGAUUAUGGGUAUUGGGGGUUUAAGGGAUUGUAGUAUAGGGGUAUAUGGGAAUAGAGUGCAUGGGAUAAAUGGUAUAUGGGAUUAGGGGUAUUAGGCAUUAUGGAUAUACAUAAGAUUAUGGGUAUUUGAAAUUAAGAGUUAUAAAAGAUCAUAGGUAUUUGAUAUUAAAGGCUAUAUGGGAUUAAGGGUAUAUAAUAGAUUAGGAGUAUAGGAUUAAGGGUAUAUGGAAAUUAUAAGAAUUAGAUAUUAGGGGUAUUUAAGAUUAAUGAGAAUUUCAAACUAGGGGUAUUUGAGAUUAGGGUUAUAUGGGAUUAAGGGGUAUAUGAAAUUAAGAUAUAUUUGAAAUUAAAGGGUAUUUGGGAUUAAAAUGUAUUUGAGAUUAAGGGAUAAUUGAGAUUAAUGGUAUUUGAUAUAAAAGGUAUUUAAGAUUAGGGUUUAUACCCUUAAUCUAAUAUACCCAUUAAUCUCAAAUAUCCCUAAUCUCAAAUACCCUUAAUCUCAAAUACCCCUUAAUCUCAUAUAUUCCUUAAUCUCAAGUACCCUAAACCCUAAACCCUAGAUCACACGACUUGAGGCAAAAACAUCAACACUACUAAUUUACUAGUAAAAUAUUAUUAUCUCAUCCCUUUCAUGUAUCAACAUAUUUUGUAAAUGUCACAAGUGCAUAUGUGAUAAGCUUCAAUUUAGAUACACUAUUCUAGGUACAUUAGCCCGUAUGAUUUUUUUUAAAACCGACUGUUAAACAUUUUCAAUACUUUAAAAUUCAUUUAGCCCACUGAAACAAUAUUGUUUAAAUAAAGGUCCAAAUAACUAACUGAUUUAAUAUUAUAGAUUAAGUAUAAUUAAAAUACACAAGAAAGUAUUUCGUUUUGGGCUCCUGAGGCCUUCCUGAGGCCCAUAUACAUCU